CUAUAACCAGAUGAAAAUCGAUAGUAUAACAACGAUCGUAUAAACUUUACCUUUAUACUAUCGCUAUUUUUAGACCAUGGUUUUCCGUUCUCUAUCUUAAGAACACUAUAUGUUUCAAUGUGACGUCAUAGCAAAUGGUGACGUUGAAGUAAACAAACAUCGGACUCAACUUGGAAAACCAACUCACCAACGAGGGACUUUACUACGUGGAACAAAUGCAUAACGUCCAGGUUGGGCCCAAUGCUGCUUGCCAAGGUUCUAAACAUGCUUUCUGGGCGAUGCUGAUCUUCUGAAGUGUUUUUUUUUACCAAUGCCCUGUGGUCCUUUAGGGGGUUCCAUCAAGCAAUUGUGGAUUCGGAAAACCCAUUGUGACCAAGAUGAAGCCGUCCACCAUGAAAAAGAGUGUCCACAUACUCAAAGCACUGAAUCACCUUUUUACAGUUUAUUGUAAAAUAUAUGUAUUUUUGAAAGUUAUUAUCAGAGUUUCUUGUAUUUUACUGAUGAAAAGUUAAGGGUCGCGAAAUUGAAUGGCAAGGCAGAAUUAAAAUACAAAUACAAAUGACAGCAAACAAUAACUAUAAGUAUAAAUAUAUCAAUCAAUGGCGAUAUAAUUGUAUAAGUAAAUUUGAAUUGAAAUGACCAAUACAUAUUACGAUUUCAGCGAUCUGAGCUUCAGAACGUUUGGUUUGUUUACCCGUUUACCCGAUAACUUCCCGAACGAACGACAACUCUUGUUCGCCCUUAGUUAUGA